GUUAACAGUAAGUUAAAAAUGUUGUUAACCACACAUUUUCAAGUGUCCUGUUAACCUCUGUAUUCUUAUAUCCCUGAUUCUUAAUCCCUAAAUAAUAUUAGAAAUGCUAAAGAGGUACCUACUCUCAGUCUGUCUGUCUUCACGCUUAAACAUCUGAAUCAAUUAGCAUAUUACACAAAUGAAAAAUGCCUUUACCAGGAUUUGACCCAGGCUUUGUAGUUUGAAACAUACCAUCAUCUGUGAUAUUUGCAGUGGAACAGCGGAGUCCUGGUCCACAUGGGCUGGUCGGACGGGGAGCAGCUGCUGUGUGUGCAGGAGAGCGGAGAUGUGCUCGUUUAUGACAUGUUUGGCGCCUACCAGAAGACAUUCAAUAUGGGGCAAGAAAUUAGGGACACUAAGGUCAGCAAAGCACAGCUGUUCUCAAAUAGGACUGGCUCUAACACCAACCGCUGAGCAACAUCUCCAAGCCCAAAGUCAGCCCGUACCAGAUCUGCCACAUGACGACACAGAGACUGUAAGGAACGUUUGUCUUAUGCUUCUGGCAUAUGUCAUAAACGUAUCGCCGGCUCGAAAACGGAAACGCGGGCUCUGAAGUUUUCUCGCGCGGAAAUAUGCGACGGAUUUUUCAAGCAAGUGUCAUCAGAAACACAUGUCAUUAGCUACAUAAUCGAGAAGAGAGAACAAUACAUGAAAUAGAAGUGGACUAUGCAGCCAUUUGUUAUUUUACUAUUUUUUGUUACUAUUCGUACACUCAGUAUUUUUUUGUAUUUGUCUAUUAUUCUUUUAGGAACAUAUGUACACCCUUAAAACAUGUCUUAAAUCAGAAAUAAUAGUAACACAAUUUACAAUUACAGAAGUAACAAGUGAAUGUCAUUAUUGUUUUAGUCACUAGAGUCCCAGAUCAGUCAACAGAGUGAUCACUACCUGUGAGCGUCUAUCAAAUGGUGUUCUUAUGUUGUAGAAUCCCAAUUGGAUAAAAACCCACAGAUCAUUACAUUCUUCGGGAUAGCAAGCUCCGGUUGAUUGGUAUAUUUUAAAGACACAGUCUAUGGCAGUUACAAGUUUUUCGAAACGGUAAACAGUUUCGUUGACGACAACGUAUGCAGCGUUUACAUUCGAGAUUAAAAAAAUACCCAGUAGUUACCACUAUCUUAGUUUGGUGGUAAAAGGUGGGGAAAAAAAUCCCAGUAGUUACCACUGGUAACAACGUGGUGGUAACUAGUGGGAAUAACCCUUGAUCUUAAGCAUAGUAUUAAUAUAGUACUUUUGUUUGUAGGUAUUAAAAUAAUGGUCAACAAUAAUCUGUCAUAAAAUGUUGUAAAAUAAUACAGUUUCAAACUGAUUAGUUUAUGUUAGUUUGUUUGUAAUAUUUCUAUUGACAUAAACAUUGGAA